rnacentral:rRNA from 1 species
UAUUGGACAAUGGGCGAAAGCCUGAUCCAGCAAUGCCGCGUGAGUGAUGAAGGCCUUAGGGUUGUAAAGCUCUUUUACCCGGGAUGAUAAUGACAGUACCGGGAGAAUAAGCUCCGGCUAACUCCGUGCCAGCAGCCGCGGUAAUACGGAGGGAGCUAGCGUUGUUCGGAAUUACUGGGCGUAAAGCGCACGUAGGCGGCUUUGUAAGUUAGGGGUGAAAGCCUGGAGCUCAACUCCAGAACUGCCUUUAAGACUGCAUCGCUUGAAUCCAGGAGAGGUGAGUGGAAUUCCGAGUGUAGAGGUGAAAUUCGUAGAUGUUCGGAAGAACACCAGUGGCGAAGGCGGCUCACUGAACUGGUAUGACGCUGAGUGCGAAA